CUUCUAGUAGCUGUGCGUGCAAACUGCCAUCGUUAAUCUUGCAGAGACGGCGAGCUUGAGCGGGGAGUUCUUUGGCGUGAGUGAGCAGGAGUAAAAAUACAAACUUUUCUUCUGCUAACACCAGAAAAAGAAGAAAGAAAAAAAACUAAAACCAUGGCUAACUACGCUACCAACAAAGUGUAUUCUGGAUAUCCUCUUGUCUUGCCAAUCGGACUCUGUUUACCUCUUGCCUGUAUUAUUGCCUGUUGUUGGAUUACGCAUUUGCCUCGCCUUCUGGAUAAUGUUUGCUGUCGUUCGACUCCAUCUGUUAUGGAUUACUCUUCAGUCUCACCUUCUAUGUCUCUGUUUGCCAUUGUUU
ensembl:lncRNA